AGUGAACGCUGGCGGUAGGCCUAACACAUGCAAGUCGAACGGCAGCACAGUAAGAGCUUGCUCUUACGGGUGGCGAGUGGCGGACGGGUGAGGAAUACAUCGGAAUCUACUUUUUCGUGGGGGAUAACGUAGGGAAACUUACGCUAAUACCGCAUACGACCUACGGGUGAAAGCAGGGGAUCUUCGGACCUUGCGCGAUUGAAUGAGCCGGUGUCGGAUUAGCUAGUUGGCGGGGUAAAGGCCCACCAAGGCGACGAUCCGUAGCUGGUCUGAGAGGAUGAAUCGGCAGAUGGGAAGAGAGGAAGGGCAGAGACACCGAAGGGAGGAAACAGUGGGGAAUAUUGGACGAUGGGGGAAAGGCUGAUCCAGCCAUACCGCGUGGAUGAAGAAGGACUUCGGGUGGUAAAGCCAUUUUGUUGGGAAAGAAAAGAAGCAGUUUAAUACCCCGCUGUUCUGACGGUACCCAAAGAAUAAGCACCGGCUAACUUCGUG
rnacentral:rRNA from 1 species